rnacentral:misc_RNA from 1 species
GAUGAAGAACGCAGCGAAAUGCGAUAAGUAAUGUGAAUUGCAGAAUUCAGUGAAUCAUCGAGUCUUUGAACGCACAUUGCGCCCCCUGGUAUUCCGGGGGGCAUGCCUGUCCGAGCGUCAUUGCUGCCCUCAAGCACGGCUUGUGUGUUGGGCUCCGCCCCCCUCCCGGGGGGCGGGCCCGAAAGGCAGCGGCGGCACCGCGUCCGGUCCUCGAGCGUAUGUGGCUUUGUCACCCGCUCUGUAGGCCCGGCCGGCGCCCGCCGGCGACCCCAAUCAAUCUUUCCAGGUUGACCUCGGAUCAGGUAGGGAUACCCGCUGAACUUAAGCAUAUCAAUAAGCGGAGGA